rnacentral:rRNA from 1 species
ACUCCUACGGGAGGCAGCAGUGGGGAAUUUUGCGCAAUGGGGGAAACCCUGAUGCAGCAACGCCGCGUGGAGGAUGAAGUCCUUUGGGUUGUAAACUCCUUUCGACCGGGACG